CUAUAGCUGAUCUGAGAGGAUGAUCAGCCACACUGGAACUGAGAUACGGUCCAGACUCCUACGGGAGGCAGCAGUGGGGAAUAUUGGACAAUGGGCGAAAGCCUGAUCCAGCCAUGCCGCAUGAGUGAAGAAGGCCUUCGGGUUGUAAAGCUCUUUUAGUGAGAAAGAUAAUGACGGUACUCACAGAAGAAGUCCUGGCUAACUCCGUGCCAGCAGCCGCGGUAAUACGGAGAGGGCUAGCGUUAUUCGGAAUUAUUGGGCGUAAAGAGCGCGUAGGCUGAUUAGUAAGUUAAAAGUGAAAUCCCAGAGCUUAACUUUGGAAUUGCUUUUAAAACUGCUAAUCUAGAGAUUGAAAGAGGAUAGAGGAAUUCCUAGUGUAGAGGUGAAAUUCGUAAAUAUUAGGAGGAACACCAGUGGCGAAGGCGUCUAUCUGGUUCAAAUCUGACGCUGAGGCGCGAAGGCGUGGGGAGCAAACAGGAUUAGAUACCCUGGUAGUCCACGCUGUAAACGAUGAAUGUUAAAUAUGGGAAGUUUACUUUCUGUAUUACAGCUAACGCGUUAAACAUUCCGCCUGGGGACUACGGUCGCAAGAUUAAAACUCAAAGGAAUUGACGGGGACCCGCACAAGCGGUGGAGCAUGUGGUUUAAUUCGAUGCAACGCGAAAAACCUUACCACUCCUUGACAUGGAAAUCAUACCUAUUCGAGGGAAUAGGGUCGGUUCGGCCGGAUUUCACACAGGUGUUGCAUGGCUGUCGUCAGCUCGUGUCGUGAGAUGUUGGGUUAAGUCCCGCAACGAGCGCAACCCUCAUCCUUAGUUACCAUCAGGUUAUGCUGGGGACUUUAAGGAAACUGCCAGUGAUAAACUGGAGGAAGGUGGGGAUGAUGUCAAGUCAUCAUGGCCCUUAUGGAGUGGGCUACACACGUGCUACAAUGGUGAUUACAAUGGGCUGCAAAGUCGUAAGGCUGAGCUAAUCCUAAAAAAUCAUCUCAGUUCGGAUUGUUCUCUGCAACUCGAGAGCAUGAAGUUGGAAUCGCUAGUAAUCGUGGAUCAGCAUGCCACGGUGAAUACGUUCUCGGGUCUUGUACACACUGCCCGUCACGCCAUGGGAAUUGGUUUCACUCGAAGCU
rnacentral:rRNA from 1 species